AACGAACGCUGGCGGCAGGCCUAACACAUGCAAGUCGAACGCACCGCAAGGUGAGUGGCGCACGGGUGAGUAACACGUGGGAAUGUAUCCUUUGGUUCGGAAUAACGUCUGGAAACGGACGCUAAUACCGGAUGAGCCCUUAGGGGGAAAGAUUUAUCGCCAAAGGAGCAGCCCGCGUCUGAUUAGGUAGUUGGUGGGGUAAUGGCCUACCAAGCCGACGAUCAGUAGCUGGUCUGAGAGGAUGAUCAGCCACACUGGGACUGAGACACGGCCCAGACUCCUACGGGAGGCAGCAGUGGGGAAUAUUGGACAAUGGGCGCAAGCCUGAUCCAGCCAUGCCGCGUGAGUGAUGAAGGCCUUCGGGUUGUAAAGCUCUUUCGCACACGACGAUGAUGACGGUAGUGUGAGAAGAAGCCCCGGCUAACUUCGUGCCAGCCGCCGCGGUAACAC
rnacentral:rRNA from 1 species